GCGUGAGUAGCUCAGUUGAUAGAGCGUCUCGUUGCCAACGAGAAGGUCGUGGGUUUGAGCCCCAUCUCACGCUCCA
rnacentral:tRNA from 1 species